UCGGGGUGAUCAUGUCAACUUAAUAUAGGGCCAGUAUUGGUUUGUUGUCCAACUGGUUUCAUGGUUAGUUGAAAAGAGAUAAUCAACUUAAGUUGGUAGUUAGUCAAGCUGGCAAUGAUCAAUUGUGUAUGUGAGAUGGGCGCAAAGACGCAUAGGAUACUGUCACUACACAACCCCUUACAUCUGUCAAUAAUGAAAAGAUAAACAAGUUCACAAGACAAACAAUUGCAGCAUCAGAUUCCCAACCAGUAUUAUUGAUCAUGUAAUUAUUCCUAGGCAUCAGUGGUCCAGUGAAGCAGAGGAGCCUACCGAAAGUGCUUCAGCAUGCAAUCUCACUAAACUUUCUUUCUUUCUUUCUUUCUUUUUUUUCGUGUAACUACAAAAUAAUGCUUCACUGAAUAUAAAAGUAUAGCAUUUUUGCUGAGACGACGAUUCUAAGAGAGGAAUCAGAAUAGGUUAGGAAACUAAGGAGGCAACAGGAUAACCAGAAAGUGAACGAGACACUUCCGUAUACAAGUUGCAGAAAGAUGGUAGCUACUUUUGUCAUUUACCUGCAG